rnacentral:rRNA from 1 species
AACGUAGGAGACAAACGUUAUCCGGAGUUACUGGGCGUAAAGGGCGUGUAGGCGGUUAGUUAAGUCUGGCGUGAAAGCUCUCGGCUAAACCGGGAGAGGUCGUUGGAUACUGGCAAACUAGAGGACGGUAGAGGCGUGUGGAAUUCCGGGUGUAGUGGUGAAAUGCGUAGAUAUCGGGAGGAACACCAGUGGCGAAGGCGACUACCUGGCCCAUUCUUGACGCUGAGGUGCGAAAGCUAGGGGAGCGAACGGG